rnacentral:rRNA from 1 species
AACGAACGCUGGCGGCAUGCCUAACACAUGCAAGUCGAACGAGACCUUCGGGUCUAGUGGCGCACGGGUGCGUAACGCGUGGGAACCUGCCCUUAGGUUCGGAAUAACUCCCCGAAAGGGGUGCUAAUACCGGAUAAUGUCUUCGGACCAAAGAUUUAUCGCCUUUGGAUGGGCCCGCGUUGGAUUAGCUAGUUGGUAGGGUAAAAGCCUACCAAGGCGACGAUCCAUAGCUGGUCUGAGAGGAUGAUCAGCCACACUGGGACUGAGACACGGCCCAGACUCCUACGGGAGGCAGCAGUGGGGAAUAUUGGACAAUGGGCGAAAGCCUGAUCCAGCAAUGCCGAGUGAGUGAUGAAGGCCUUAGGGUUGUAAAGCUCUUUUACCCGGGAUGAUAAUGACAGUACCGGGAGAAUAAGCUCCGGCUAACUCCGU